GGGUCAGUAGGUUGGUCGUGCCACCGGUACGUACUGGUCUCACUGAUUCCUCCUCCCUGAAGAACCGUAAUGCCAUUAAUUUGGUGUUGCGGGGAAACAGGACUGUUACUUUGAAAAAAUUAGAGUGUUUAAAGCAAGCUAACGCUUGAAUACAUUAGCAUGGAAUAAUGAAAUAGGACGUUCGAACCUAUUUUGUUGGUUUCUAGGAUUGACGUA
rnacentral:rRNA from 1 species